rnacentral:lncRNA from 1 species
UGAAACGGCCGCGCAGGUCUCCGCAUUUCCCGUACCUUCGCCAUCAUGUUUGAAGAGUGACCUUCAUUCAAGUGAGGAGGUACGAUUCGACAUCCUCGUAGCAGCUCCUUACUACUGCCAUACCGUUCCUCCAACUCUAGGGGGUCAGUGGUGUGACCGCUCCGGAGUGCAGACUGUCGGCCGGCUGGUGGUGUGAGCAAACUUCCACAUCUUUCACUGAAGCAAGCUGGCCUCUCCUCCCUUCCAUUUUUGAGUGACCCGCCACAGAAAGAGUCCGACAUGGUGGAACUCGACCCUGCCCGUAGAGGAGGCACUGGGCUACUUCCGCGGAGCAAUCGCAACAACACUCAGUGCUACUUGUAGUCUACAUUCUAUCCAUGACUAAGCUGUGACAUAGUUUAUUUGAUCACAUUGAACAACUCUUGCGAUUUCGUAGCGCCCUUCUCAACCACAACUGAGUGAAGCACACGGACGAACUCAGCUGGGUUUUUUGACUGAAACGAGACUGUCAGCCGAAGCGCUUCAGCCUCCCGUAUAUCAGGUCGUGCCCCACGGGCAUCAACGACCUGUACAUUUUUAGCGACAGAACACAAUCACUUUAGAGUGAUGAGCGUCUUUUGCGUCCGUUGCUUGUUGUCUAAAAAUCAACCGAGGUCCAGUCUUCUUGAACAGGAUUCCAGGACACCGUGCUGAAGCAGCAGUAAACAUCUCUCAGGGUUGUAGACUCUUGAGACAUCACCGUCUUCGCCCCCCAUUACGGCUACAGAACACGUGGAACGGAACGAGCAACAGAUGCUUGCAUCGAACUUUGUGCCAGUCCAAGCUACAGCGGGUGGCACUUGGUUACCUAAACACUGAAAUUGGAAGGGGGGGCUGUCCUGCUCUAGUUAUGUGCAUGCGCCCACGAAAUAACUUUUCUCCGAAUCCAUGAUUAAUUUCAUGCAUUUUCGCCUAAACGCUGAUGUGGAGGCAGGAUAAUCAGUACAAUUUAUUGACUGCAUGUGUUGUAGGGGUUUCAGCGAGCGACUUCCAUUUCACCCAACAGCGUGCAUUAUUGUGACGUUACGUUCCUUACAAAUAUCAUGGUCCGCC